GGGUGGCGGAAUUGGUAGACGCGCAGGACUCAAAAUCCCGUUUUCGCAAGAAAGUGAGGGUUCGAGUCCCUCCUUGCCCACCA
rnacentral:tRNA from 1 species